rnacentral:sRNA from 1 species
UGCCUAAACCUUUAUUCGUAAAGGCAUGGCAUCAAAUCCAUCCAUGGUAUUAAGCUCCUCGUCGGAGCACCAGGGAUGGUCAUAUCUCGAAAGGGAUAUGGGUGGCCGAAAGGCCAUC